rnacentral:rRNA from 1 species
GUGUCAGCCGCCGCGGUAAUACGGAGGAUGCAAGCGUUAUCCGGAAUUAUUGGGCGUAAAGCGUCCGCAGGUGGUUAAUCAAGUCUGCUGUUAAAGGGCAAGGCUUAACCUUGUAAAGGCAGUGGAAACUGGUUGACUAGAGUACGGUAGGGGCGGAGGGAAUUCCCAGUGUAGCGGUGAAAUGCGUAGAUAUUGGGAAGAACACCAGUGGCGAAGGCGCUCUGCUGGGCCGAGACUGACACUGAGGGACGAAAGCUAGGGGAGCGAAAGGGAUUAGAUACCCCUGUAGUCCUAGCUGUAAACGAUGGAUACUAGGUGUUGGGCGUAUCGACCCGUUCAGUACCGAAGUCAACGCGAUAAGUAUCCCGCCUGGGGAGUACGCACGCAAGUGUGAAACUCAAAGGAAUUGACGGGG